AACGAACGCUGGCGGCAGGCUUAACACAUGCAAGUCGAACGCACCUUUCGGGGUGAGUGGCAGACGGGUGAGUAACGCGUGGGAAUCUACCCUUCUCUACGGGAUAGCUCCGGGAAACUGGAAUUAAUACCGUAUACGUCCUGAGGGAGAAAGAUUUAUCGGGGAAGGAUGAGCCCGCGUUGGAUUAGCUAGUUGGUGGGGUAAAGGCCUACCAAGGCGACGAUCCAUAGCUGGUCUAAGAGGAUGAUCAGCCACAUUGGGACUGAGACACGGCCCAAACUCCUACGGGAGGCAGCAGUGGGGAAUAUUGGACAAUGGGCGCAAGCCUGAUCCAGCCAUGCCGCGUGAGUGAUGAAGGUCCUAGGGUUGUAAAGCUCUUUCAGUGGGGACGAUAAUGACGGUACCCACAGAAGAAGCCCCGGCUAACUUCGUG
rnacentral:rRNA from 1 species